rnacentral:lncRNA from 1 species
AUGACCCACGAGAAAGGGAAAGGGGAAAACACCAAUCCUGCGCUGGGCUUUUUCGACUUUUCCUUUAAAAAGAAAAAAGUUUUUCAAGCUGUAGGUUCCAAGAACCGGCAGGAGGGGGGCGAGGCGGGGUGGGGGGGUGUACAGAAAAGGCGCCUGGUCGGUUAUGAGUCACAAGUGGGUUAUAAAAGGGUCGCACGUUCGCAGGCGCGGGCUUCCUGUGCGCGGCUGAGCCGGGGCGCAGCGCGACGGUCCCAUCGGGCGGCCUCCACCCUCGGGACGCGAGCGGAGCGCCGAGCCCAGCGGCGAUCACGCGACGCGGGGAAGGAAGGAAGGUGGUGCAAACCAGGAAGGGGAAAUCUGUGGUUUACGUUCUCUGUGCCUCAUCCCUCUCGGAGAGCUGGAGGCUUGCUGGAGGCUAUAUGCUGUUAAUGCUAAUUGUGAUAGGGGUUUUUACCUCCGUCUGACUCCUACAUGUUAGCAUUAACAGGGUAUGAUGCCUGUUACUAGCAUUCACAUGGAACAAACUGCUGCUGUGGGAGGAUGACAAAGAAGUGUGAGUCACCCUGCUGGAUAAACUCAGACUUUAAGCUUUAUUAUUUUUUGUUAAUCAUAAUCUGGUCACUGGGAUGUUCCACCUGAUAGUAAGUCUUUAAGAAUAAGGUCUUGUAAAAGAUUUAUCAACGGUAUCCUGAAAGCAAACUUUUUUACUUUAAUCCUUAAGCCCACAUUUUUUUUAAAAAAAUCUUUAAUGGAAAAUGUAUUCCUGUCCUUUUUAAUUCACAGUUAUGGUUUGUUCAUUAUAACUGUUUAUAAACACUUUGAAUAAUUUAACUAGAAAGAAAUAUAAACACAUUCUGAGUAUCUUUGCAGUUAAAAAUUAGGACUACUAUCCACUAAUUAAUCAUGGAUUGUUGGGAAAUAUGUUCAAAAAGAUUUAGAAAUUGGUAUUUCCCCCAUGUAACAAUUCUAUUUAGACAACUUCAGUUUCAAAUGGAUACUUUUAUAUGAAUCUUAAAGUAGACUUGAAAGGCUAUGGCAAUUAGUUUUUAAAAAAUGAAAGAUUUCAUUCUUUUUUAUGGCUGAGUAGUAUUCCAUUGCAUAUAUAUACCACAUAUCCUUAAUCCACCCAUUCGUCUGUCGCUGGACAUUUAGGCUGUUUCCAUUUGCAGCAACAUGGAUGCAAAUAGAGAUUCUCAUACUAAAUGAAGUUAAGUCAGAAAGAUAAAGACAAAUUCCAUAUGAUAUCAGUUAUAUGUGGACUCAAAAAUAUGGCACAAAUGAACCUAUCUACAAAACAGAAACAGACCCACAGACAUAGAGAAUAGACUUGUGGUUGCCAAGGGGGAGGGAAGAGGGAGUGGGAUGGAUGGGCAGUUUGGGGUUAGUAGAUACAGACUAUUACAUUUAGAUUAGAUGGGCAAUGAGGUCCUACUAUUCAGCACGGGGAACUAUAUCCAGUCUCUUGGGAUAGACCAUGAUGGAAGAUAAUAUAAGACAAGGAAUGAAUAUAUACAUAUGACUGGGUCACCUUGCUGCAAUAGCAGAACUUGCCACAACGUUGUACAUCAACUAUACGUUAAUAAAAAAAUCAAAAAGAUUUUUUAAACUUAGUAC